rnacentral:rRNA from 1 species
CUCGUAGGCGGCCAACUAAGUCGGACGCGAAAUCCCUCGGCUCAACCGAGGAACUGCGUCCGAUACUGGAUGGCUUGAGUUCGGGAGAGGGAUGCGGAAUUCCAGGUGUAGCGGUGAAAUGCGUAGAUAUCUGGAGGAACACCGGUGGCGAAGGCGGCAUCCUGGACCGACACUGACGCUGAGUGAGCGAAAGCCAGGGAGCAAC